ACCUGCGGAAGGAUCAUUAAUUAUCGGUAGUUUACUGCCGUUUGAAGGAGAUGGAAACUUGGUAGGCCUGGCCUGUCAAGGAGUACAUUUCUUUUCUUCACCCUUGUCUUUUUGCGCACUCAUGUUUCCUCGGCAGGCUUGCCUGCCGGUUGGACAAUUCUAUAACCUUUUUACUAUUUCAAUCAGCGUCUGAAUUAUUUUAAUAAUUACAACUUUCAACAACGGAUCUCUUGGUUCUGGCAUCGAUGAAGAACGCAGCGAAAUGCGAUAAGUAGUGUGAAUUGCAGAAUUCAGUGGAUCAUCGAAUCUUUGAACGCACAUUGCGCCCCUUGGUAUUCCAUGGGGCAUGCCUGUUCGAGCGUCAUUUUGUAAAUUCAAGCUUUGCUUGGUGUUGGGUGUUUGUCUCUGCUCUGCAAAGACUCUCCCUAAAUAUAUUGGCAGCCUAUGGAAUGGUUUGAAGCGCAGCACAAUUGCAAUUCAGGCGAUAUUAUGGGCAUCCAGAAAGACCAUUAUCACGCUUGACCUCGGAUCAGGUAGGGAUACCCGCUGAACUUAAGCAUAUCAAUAAGCGGAGGAAAAGAAAC
rnacentral:rRNA from 1 species